rnacentral:rRNA from 1 species
UGGGGAAUAUUGCACAAUGGGCGCAAGCCUGAUGCAGCCAUGCCGCGUGUAUGACGAAGGCCUUCGGGUUGUAAAGUACUUUCAGCGGGGAGGAAGGGAGUAAAGUUAAUACCUUUGCUCAUUGACGUUACCCGCAGAAGAAGCACCGGCUAACUCCGUGCCAGCAGCCGCGGUAAUACGGAGGGUGCAAGCGUUAAUCGGAAUUACUGGGCGUAAAGCGCACGCAGGCGGUUUGUUAAGUCAGAUGUGAAAUCCCCGGGCUCAACCUGGGAACUGCAUCUGAUACUGGCAAGCUUGAGUCUCGUAGAGGGGGGUAGAAUUCCAGGUGUAGCGGUGAAAUGCGUAGAGAUCUGGAGGAAUACCGGUGGCGAAGGCGGCCCCCUGGACAAAGACUGACGCUCAGGUGCGAAAGCGUGGGGAGCAAACAGG